AACAUACCUAAAACGUUGCUUCGGCGGGAACAGACGGCCCCGUAAGACGGGCCGCCCCCGCCAGAGGACCCCUAACUCUGUUGCUAUAUGUAUCUUCUGAGUAAACAAGCAAAUAAAUUAAAACUUUCAACAACGGAUCUCUUGGCUCUGGCAUCGAUGAAGAACGCAGCGAAAUGCGAUAAGUAAUGUGAAUUGCAGAAUUCAGUGAAUCAUCGAAUCUUUGAACGCACAUUGCGCCCGCCAGUAUUCUGGCGGGCAAGCCUGUUCGAGCGUCAUUACAACCCUCAGGCCCCCGGGCCUGGCGUUGGGGAUCGGCGAGGCGCCCCCCGCGGGCACGCGCCGUCCCCCAAAUACAGUGGCGGUCCCGCCGCAGCUUCCAUUGCGUAGUAGCUAACACCUCGCAACUGGAGAGCGGCGCGGCCAUGCCGUAAAACACCCAACUUCUGAA
rnacentral:misc_RNA from 1 species